rnacentral:rRNA from 1 species
UACAGAGGUCUCAAGCGUUGUUCGGAUUCAUUGGGCGUAAAGGGUGCGUAGGCGGUCGGGUAAGUCGGAUGUGAAAUCUCAGGGCUCAACCCUGAAACUGCAUUCGAUACUGCUUGGCUAGGGUACUGGAGAGGAGACUGGAAUUUACGGUGUAGCAGUGAAAUGCGUAGAUAUCGUAAGGAAGACCAGUGGCGAAGGCGAGUCUCUGGACAGUUACCGACGCUGAGGCACGAAGGCCAGGGGAGCGAACAGG